rnacentral:rRNA from 1 species
ACCUGAAAUCAAGCAAGAUCACCCGCUGAACUUAAGCAUAUCAGUAAGCGGAGGAAAAGAAACUAACAAGGAUUGCCUUAGUAGUGGCGAAUGAACCGGCAAUAGCUCAAAGUGUAAAUCUGAGGCAUCAAGUCUUAGAAUUGUAAUCUAUAGGCCUUUUAGGGAAGCCAUGGUUCUAGCAUAAGUUCCCUGAAAAGGGAUGCCAAAGAGGGUAAAAGCCCCGUAUUUGGUUAGGACUGGGUGUACCGAAGGGUUCCAAGAGUCGGGUUGUUUGGGAUUGCAGCCUAAAAUGGGAGAUAAACUUCUUCUAAAGCUAAAUAUUUAUGGGAAACCGAUAGCAAACAAGUACUACGAAGGAAAGAUGAAAAGAACUUUGAAAAGAGGGUUAAAAGACUUGAAAUCGUUGAGGAGAAAAGCGGUAGAAGAGAAAUGAUUUCAUUUAGAAGUAUGUAGUUUUGUAGGCGUCUUCUGCGGUAAUGGUACUUCAUAGGGCCUAGCUGUAGACCGGUGUCGCAUUGCUGCUUUUUCUGGAUGAAGUGCAAAAUGAGGUCUCGCUUGCGGAAACGUCUCUAGGGAGGACUCUGGCCUCGACGCUAGAAGCCCUGGUCUCCAA